UACAGAGGGUGCAAGCGUUGUUCGGAAUUAUUGGGCGUAAAGGGCGCGUAGGCGGCGCGACAAGUCACCUGUGAAAUCUCCGAGCUUAACUCGGAGCCUGCAGGCGAAACUGUCGUGCUGGAGUAUGGGAGAGGUGCGUGGAAUUCCCGGUGUAGCGGUGAAAUGCGCAGAUAUCAGGAGGAACACCGGUGGCGAAGGCGGGUCUCUGGGCCGAAAUUGACGCUGAGGAGCGAAAGCGUGGGGAGCAAACAGG
rnacentral:rRNA from 1 species